rnacentral:lncRNA from 1 species
AUGUUUUGUCCUUCACAUCCAGAUCAAAUCCAGUGCUUGGGAACCCUUCUGGUCCUUUAACGAAACCACAAUGAAUUGUUUGAUUGCUUGCAUAGAAGGAUCGCUCUCUUUCUUCAAGGGUUUGAUGUCCUCCAAAUCUAGGAUCAGAUGGAUCAUUCUGGGAAGUUUUUUCCUCUCUUUCUACAUAUCCCAAUAAAAAUUGUGUAAAAUUUG